AGCGGAUGUCCUGCUGGCUGCCAGGGCAGCGUGGGACGCUACGGCGGAUAUGGCUGCAGAGCGGCCGGCUGGGAUCUUAGAUAGGAGGGGUGGAUUUGCAAGGCCUAGAAUAGCUGGGGAGUGGUUUCCCCGCGGAAUCGGCCUCCCUGCCGCUCCUGCUUUGUACUGUGACGCUCAGCCUGUGAUGACUGGUGUGGAAUCCGCUGAGCCACCUUGGCCUAAGGAGACUUUACCACUCUGAGAUUGUAAAUCUGUAAAAUAGAGAUGUAGGAUUAGCCCAUACGGUAGUUGUGGUAAAUACUGUGAGACAAUAAGGGGCCUGGGACACAGCAUUCAAAUGGGAAUAAUGAAGGUCAAGACUGUGAUUCCUGUAUCUUUGACGCUCUCGGUAUAAGCACCGUCGUGGGCACAGGGCAGUGGCCUUUAUGCAGGAGUUUAAGAGGGAAUGAAGGAAUGAAUGGGCAAACUCUGGAGUUCCCAAGUAUUCUCUCCAGGAGCUGUUUCCAUUCUUUUCGUUUCCAGCAGAUUCAAGAGGCAAUUGUUGGAAUGUAAAAAGAGCACGGGACUUGGAGUCAAAUACUUAAGUCUACCAUCAAGUAGUUGUUAAGAAUUAAACAACAAUUUUUGUGUACCCAGUUAAAUGUGGGCUGCUUAGGAAUGAUGACUGUGUCUUAAUGAUCUCUGUAUUCUUAGUGACAUGUAGAAUCAUUGUGCCUGACACAUAGUAUGUACUCAGGAAAGAAAUGGAAAAUGUGGUUUUAGCAUUGAAGGCCGGGAGAGAGGGUCUAACAGACUACAAGCCCUGCCAGGAGCAGAGUAAGGGAAACAGAGGAGAAAAGUGUUUUUAGUCUGUGCCUGAAUGUAUUUACAUCUGUUUGUAGCCCAAAAGCCAAAAGCAUACAUACGCUUGGCUUUUCUGUAGCUAUGUUUAUGGCUUUACAGCAGAUUUUAUGGAGCUGCAAUUACUUUGAUCAUGAGGGACUGAUGCUAGUGGAUUUACUUCACCAAAUGGAACUCACUUUGUGGCUUCUGAAGAAGGGACCUUUGUGGACUGUCAUGGAGUAGUUAAGAGUGCAGGCUCUGAUUUAGUGAUCAGAGUCUGCAUUGUCAGGAAUGGGACAAAGUGAAGUUAUGUGGCACUUGAUAGGAUGCCCUGAGAAGAUUGCAACAUCACCCCUGUGAUAUUCCUGCUGAAGAUCCAUAACCUGGAUGUAAUCAUGAGGAUAUAUCAGACAAACCCACGUAAAGAGACAUGCUGUAUACAAAACUGUAAUCUUAGAAAGUGCCAAGGUCAUGAAAAUCAAAGAUAGACCCUGGAACUGUUCCAAACUGGAGGGGACCAAAGAGGCAUGACAACUAAACACAACACAUGAUUCUGAACUGGAUCUUUUUGCUUGAAAGGAAGUUACAGGGACAGUUGGAAAAGUUUAAAUGGGGCCUACAAUGCCGUGGUAAUGAUGUGUCCGUGUUAAUUUCCUGAUUUUCAUGGUUGCCUGUUAAGUUACAUCAGAGGAUGUUCUUGUUUGCUGGAAAGUAAAUCAAUGUAUUUGGCAGGGGAUAAGGCAUCAAAUGGUCACCUUAAUUUCAAAUUAUUACAGGGAAAAUGUUUCUCUCUGUACUUAAUAACUUUUUUGCAAUUUCUUAAAAUGAAAGCUCUGGAGUAAAAACUUCAAGGAUCCAAA
rnacentral:lncRNA from 1 species